GGAUUCCUACGGGGGGCAGCAGUGGGGAAUAUUGCACAAUGGGGGGAACCCUGAUGCAGCGACGCCGCGUGAGUGAAGAAGUAUUUCGGUAUGUAAAGCUCUAUCAGCAGGGAAGAAAAUGACGGUACCUGACUAAGAAGCCCCGGCUAACUACGUGCCAGCAGCCGCGGUAAUACGUAGGGAGCGAGCGUUGUCCGGAAUUACUGGGUGUAAAGGGAGCGUAGGCGGGAUUGCAAGUUGGAUGUGAAAACUGCGGGCUCAACCCGGAGCGUGCAUUCAAAACUGCGAUUCUUGAGUGAAGUAGG
rnacentral:rRNA from 1 species